rnacentral:piRNA from 1 species
UCUUCAGCCGAACCUUAAAAGUGAAU